AAAAAUGACUCUCGGCAACGGAUAUCUCGGCUCUCGCAUCGAU
rnacentral:rRNA from 1 species